AUUGAACGCUGGCGGCAUGCUUUACACAUGCAAGUCGAACGGUAACAGGCCUCCGGGUGCUGACGUGUGGCGAACGGGUGAGUAAUGCAUCGGAACGUGCCCCUGGGUGGGGGAUAACGCAGCGAAAGCUGUGCUAAUACCGCAUGUGAUCUGAGGAUGAAAGCGGGGGACCACGCCGCAAUGUUUGGCCUCGCGCCUUUGGAGCGGCCGAUGUCAGAUUAGGUAGUUGGUGGGGUAAGGGCCCACCAAGCCGACGAUCUGUAGCUGGUCUGAGAGGACGACAAGCCACACUGGGACUGAGACACGGCCCAGACUCCUACGGGAGGCAGCAGUGGGGAAUUUUGGACAAUGGGCGCAAGCCUGAUCCAGCAAUGCCGCGUGCGGGAAGAAGGCCUUCGGGUUGUAAACCGCUUUUGUACGGAACGAAAAGGCUCUGGCUAAUACCUGGGGCUGAUGACGGUACCGUAAGAAUAAGCACCGGCUAACUACGUG
rnacentral:rRNA from 1 species